GUCCACUGCUGCUGUUGGAAUUGAAACCUAAUCCAGAGAAUACAUUUCCUGGUUUCACAGAGAUAAAGGCUGUGUCCAAAUUCAGAGGCUGCAUCCUUCGGAGGCCGUGUUUGUAGGCUGUCCAAAUUCGAAGGCUGCUCCAAAUGCGGCCCACAAGUGCGUCCUCCUUUUCCUCAGAUUUUAAGGAUGGUGUAUCCUUCGUGGCCCACCCUAUCUCAGGAUUCACUGCGAAUCAAAGGUUAAAGAAAUUUUUGGGAGAAAACAGUCGAAGCGAAGCGGUCCAGAAAUAAACUUUUAAAAUCUCCAGAGUCAGGAGAGACUGAGAAGGUGAGAGGAGACGGGACGAGGCUCUCCACCCCUGACGAUACACCAGGAGCAGUGUGUGAGGAAGAGGAGGAGAAAAGGGAGCCAGCAGCAGCUGAGAGAUGCAGAGGAGAACAGGGGGAGAACAGACAGACGUUCUCUGUAGCUGAGGGACUGGUGGAAAUAUUUAAACAGUUUCUAGAUAUUUGCUUCCUGCAUUUGCAGAAGUAUCUCCAACACAAACUGUAACAGCUGCAUACAGGGAACCACUCACUGAUGUUUAUCCUGCAGGACAGGAUCUGACAGGGAAAAAAGGAACAAUAAAGGUCCCAUGGACACCUUUGAUAACAAUUUGUUUUAUCCAGAACAUAUUUAGUUAAAGUAUUGUUUUUAUCACAGUGGAAUUGUGCUGGUUUCACUGGGAAAUGUAUGCAGCUCAUUUAAAUAAAUAGUUCAAAGAGCUGUGAAAAGUUGUCCAUUCAUAAAGUGUGUCAGUAUUUUAUAAGGAUGUCAUGUUUCUGUGUCAUCUCUCUCCUGUUAGAGCCUCUUACACAAACAUCAGCCUGUUUAAUGCUCUCAUAUCUUCAACAUCUUAAAAUACACAGUUUUCUCAUCAAUAAAAGAAUAUUUACUGCA